rnacentral:rRNA from 1 species
GGGAAUCUUCCACAAUGGACGAAAGUCUGAUGGAGCAACGCCGCGUGUGUGAUGAAGGGUUUCGGCUCGUAAAACACUGUUGUAAGAGAAGAAUGACAUUGAGAGUAACUGUUCAAUGUGUGACGGUAUCUUACCAGAAAGGAACGGCUAAAUACGUGCCAGCAGCCGCGGUAAUAA